AUUGAACGCUGGCGGCAGGCCUAACACAUGCAAGUCGAACGAGUGGCGGACGGGUGAGUAAUGUCUGGGAAACUGCCCGAUGGAGGGGGAUAACUACUGGAAACGGUAGCUAAUACCGCAUACCAUCGGAUGUGCCCAUAUGGGAUUAGCUAGUAGGUGGGGUAACGGCUCACCUAGGCGACGAUCCCUGGCUGGUCUGAGAGGAUGACCAGGCAAACAGGAACUGGGACACGGUCCAGACCCCUAAGGGGGGCAGCAGGGGGGAAUAUUGCACAAUGGGGGGAAGGCUGAUGCAGCCAAUCCGCGGUGAUGAAGAAGGCCUUCGGGGUGUAAAGGACUUUCAGGGAGGAGGAGUUACUCGCAGAAGAAGCACCGGCUAACUCCGUGCCAGGAGCCGCGGUAAUAC
rnacentral:rRNA from 1 species